CAGCAGUCGCCACGGGAAUACCAGCACCUCGAGUGGUCAGGAGGUUUAUUGGGCCUAAAGCAUCCGUAGCCGGUUGCAUAAGUUUUCGGUUAAAUCUAUGCGCUUAACGUAUAGGCCGCCGAAAAUACUGUGCAGCUAGGGAGUGGGAGAGGUACACGGUACUCGAUAGGAAGGGGUAAAAUCCUUUGAUCUAUUGAUGACCACCUGUGGCGAAGGCGGUGUACCAGAACACGUUCGACGGUGAGGGAUGAAAGCUGGGGGAGCAAACCGGAUUAGAUACCCGUGUAGUCCCUGUCUCUUAUAC
rnacentral:rRNA from 1 species